UGGUGGAGUGAUUUGUCUGGUUAAUUCCGAUAACGAACGAGACCUUAACCUGCUAAAUAGCCAGGCCGGCUUCGGCUGGUCGCCGGCUUCUUAGAGGGACUAUCAGCGUCUAGCUGAUGGAAGUUUGAGGCAAUAACA
rnacentral:rRNA from 1 species